ACAAGAAACUUCGCAGAAGCUCAAAAGUUUUUGUAUCAUAUGGACAUGUUAGUAUGUCACACAAUCACAUCAACACCGAAACUUCGGAGAAGUUCAAAGGUUUUUGUUGAUACAAAAAAUUGGACUUCUAUUUUACGUACUGGGAUACACCUUUUUGAGAGACUUCCUGAUCUCAAAUUCCUAUUAGCACCCUCUCUGUCUCCUUACAUUUAUCUCCAACUCUCAUGAAUUCCCUUGAGAGCCCUGCCUCUCUCAACCGAAUGGAAGGGCCUUUUAUGAGAUAUGGACUUUUCUUCACCUGCCUGGGGAGUCAAAACAACCUUCCUCUAUAUAUGUAGCCAACUAGCCAUGAACGUCCUGAAGGAGAUCAUCGGUAGGAUUCUAGGGAAAGGUAAUCAUGGCGAGGGAAAUUGCCCUUCUGGUAGAUAAUUAUGGAAGCGGGUCCGGGUCAGGUGGAGUCCUUUUUGUGCUCUGCGCAGUUGUAUUCUCUCUCACUGUCAUUUCCAUGGUCGUAUUUGCUUGUGGAAGUGGUGGCGUAGGCGGUGGUGGUGGUGGAGGAUGUGGCGGCGGUGGCUGUGGAGGCGGCGGCGGCGGAGGAUGUUAAAUAUUGAAAUGCAUGAUGUCUUUUUCGUUAUGUUAUUUGUAUAAAGAUAUUCACAGAGCGGGCAUCUGUGUUCGUAAAGUACUAAUACCUGUUGGAUAUGCCCCUUGCUAUGUCUCAAAUAAAAGAGAGCUCUGUUAUUAGCGAGUUUAUGGACUCCUCGUACUCUUCCGGUUUGGACAAUAUUUGUGAUACAGAGAUAUUCGUACACCAGCAACUCCUGUUUGUGCAUCUUGACUAGUACACUCGGGUAAAAUCUUCGUUUCAGUUAA